UAAGCUGGCCUUUUUUCCAUCGACUUGCUAGUGGUAACUGCUCCGUUCUUUCAACAACUUGAGUAUUAACAGAAGCUGAAGCUGUAGGGUUCUCCAUCUAUCCAUUACUUUGAGGCGUCAAAAGAGGCACACCCGUUCAUAAGCGAUCAACUGUUCCAUUGUAUAACAAUGUCAUUGCUGUAAGAAGAAUAGCGCCCCCUCUCUGGCUAAAGAGAAACAGUUGGCAGUUUGACACUGUAAAACAACCAUCCAUUCUAGCUCUUGUGAAUCUACAUUGCUAUUACAGAAAAUAGAAUGCUGACAAAUGGACCCCAAGCGUAGUAGCUCAGUCGCACACAAUUUCCCAUGAGAUCAUAAAAGUGACGGUUGAUUUAAAAAGUCUUUACCUGCAAGUGAACGGAGGUCCGGCGAGUAAGUGAUACAGGUUACCUGCACUUGAUGGCAUUUUAGAACAUCUUACUCGGGGUCUCCGCCAGCCUACUGCACCUUUCCAGAUUGUACGCUCUUAGAAAUCUGUAAUGUCGCUGUAGAGCCCAAUCAAUGGUAUGGUCCCACUCCGAAGGUCUCCCACAUUUCCUCAAGGUCCAGAAUUUAUAAUUGGGAGAUGCCCCUGAUCAGAUAGUGCAUUGAGAUGCAUGUGUUAAUUGUGAUAGAAAAGUCCCACGUCGCAAAUUGGUAUGGAGCAAACUUUC